rnacentral:lncRNA from 1 species
AAAGAUUCCUGAUACUUACCAGGAGUCUAAACUUUGAAUGGAUGAAUGGACACAAGAGAACUUUAAUGACAGCAGUAAAUCAGAACAUUUUUUUAAAGUCAUUCUCUACCAAAUUCCAGUAGUUUCUACCAGAGGUCACAAAUACAGGACAAGUACAGAAAGCACAGAAGUUCAACAACAAGAAAAAGAAAACAUGGCAAGUUGAGUGCAAGGCAAAAAAGAAAUAUUCAACACAAGUAUGUAUGUUACUUUCUCAGCUGUGUCCACUCUUUGUGACUGCUGUGGACUAUAGCCUGCCAGGAUCCUCUCUCUCUCUCCCCAUGGAUUUCCCAGGUAAGAAUACUGAAGUGGGUUGCCAUUUCCUUGAGUACUAAACUGGCUCAAAUCCUUAUUUUGUAAUGUGUCUUCAAGCAUCCA